UAUCUCUGUAGAGUCUGCAUAUCAAUAAGCGGAGGAAAAGAAACUAACUAGGAUUCCCUCAGUAACGGCGAGUGAAGCUGGGAAGAGCUCAAAUUUGAAAUCUUCAAGGUUUUACCUUGACGAAUUGUAGUCUAAAGAAGUGUUUUCUGUUGGAGUUUUGGUAAAAGUUCUUUGGAAUAGGACAUCAUAGAGGGUGAGAAUCCCGUAUUUGACCAUUAUUUCCAGCUCUGUGAUACACUUUCAAAGAGUCGGAUUGUUUGGGAAUGCAGUCCAAAAUGGGUGGUAAAUUUCAUCUAAAGCUAAAUACUGGCGAGAGACCGAUAGCGAACAAGUACCGUGAGGGAAAGAUGAAAAGAACUUUGAAAAGAGAGUUAAACAGUACGUGAAAUUGUCAAAAGGGAAGCGUUUGACACCAGUGUUGUUUUCUCGAAAAUCAAUUAAAAAUGGCGGGAUUUUGUGUUGUAUUGACUUUAUCAGCUUUCUGCACUUUUUUCCUGUCUUUUUUAAUGCACUUUUCGUUUAACAAGUCAACAUCAAUUUCUUUUGUUGUAAAAGGGUCAUUGGAAGGUGGCUUUCUUUUCGGAGAAAGUGUUUAUAGCCUUUGGCCUCUGCAAUCGGAGAGAUUGAGGUCUGCAGCGUAGAUCCUUCGGGGUUAGAUACAUUUGUGCUAAGUUAUAGCCUUUCAUAGACAACUUGUUGACUAUGAUCAGUCAUGUAGCUUACUCGCUUAUGCUAUUUUACCUACGCUUAGGAUGUUGAGUCAUCACACAUCUCU
rnacentral:rRNA from 1 species